CAGGCUGUCUCUGACAGAAGAAUACAGUUCAUCAAAAGUGUCUGCAGGUUGUCAAACUCGUUCCUUUUAGAACACUGUACAAAAAGACAGAAGGAAAUUCUCCAUUCAGUGCGUGAGCAUAACUGCUAUUAAUACCGAGGGGAGUUAAGUG